GAGCCACGCUUGUGCGACGAAAUCUUAUCAUUCCUUGCCAUCUAAGCUAUAGCUUCCAAUCACUCCAGGAAUCGAACUUUUCUUGCGGGAAACUGUAGAGGAUUCUAUAUGCUUUUUCUUAGCCAGUGGAAAAACUUCCCUGCGAGGGAACGAAAAGCUCCAUGGGGCAUGGAUCGAUUUCCGAGAUUUGUAGCACCAGUUUUUCGAGGCUUUCAAUCCCAGCGAACCAAUUUCUCUGCUAGCCGGCGCAAAGAAUCCAUUUUCAAUACAAGUAGUGAAGACGAGAUUUCUCCGACUAAAGAUUCGUGGCGAGUGGUGCUGGCAUUCCAACUGGAGUUCCAUGUGAAGUUCCAGGCUUAAAAUUCUCCAAGCCAAGUAUUCUACCUUGUCAAUUCUCGUAGUUUUUCUUAAAACGGGGACGAAACGUUAUUGUCCCAACAGCACACCAUGUGAGGUGUUCCACUGGAGCUUAGAUGCUUAAGCACAUGUUUAGAUGUA